CAGUAGCCGCGGGAACACAGAGGGUGCAAGCGUUAAUCGGAAUUACUGGGCGUAAAGCGCGCGUAGGUGGUUUGUUAAGUUGGAUGUGAAAUCCCCGGGCUCAACCUGGGAACUGCAUCCAAAACUGGCAAGCUAGAGUAUGGUAGAGGGUGGUGGAAUUUCCUGUGUAGCGGUGAAAUGCGUAGAUAUAGGAAGGAACACCAGUGGCGAAGGCGACCACCUGGACUGAUACUGACACUGAGGUGCGAAAGCGUGGGGAGCAAACAGGAUUAGAUACCCCCGUAGUCCCUGUCUCUUAUAC
rnacentral:rRNA from 1 species